UGUGGCAUUGUCGGACACUGGUGGUUCCGGUGGUUUUGGGAGCUUUGGGCACAGUGCACGUAGGUAUUGCACGGUGGCUGGACAUUAUUCCAGGUCAUCACAACCUGCAGCACUUACAGAAAACAGUGCUUCUGGGAUCUACUCGGAUCCUUUGUAAAGUUAUGUCUUCUUUCUAGACAGCCGUGAUGGUCUAAGUACUUCUGAAGCAGGGUUUGCUUCCGGUACUUGUAAUAGACUUUACAAACCACACUGAUCUGGUUGAGCACGACACAUAAUAAUAAUGAUCAAUACUGGGAACCGGCUUCCACAGAAUGGAAACUUUACGGUCAACUUGAACAGCGGAAAGAUCAGAUCGACAGAAGUGACGUCACUGACAGGAAAGCAAUUGGAUCAGGAGAAUUUGGCGUUGUAGAGAAAGCAGUGUGGAAAGUGCAUGAUGGAAAGAAGCUGGCAGUCGCGGUCAAGAGUCUGACAAAUGAAGCCAAUGCUGAUGACCGCGUCAAAUUUCUUCAUGAGGCAGCAAUUAAUGGUCAAUUUCUCCAUCAAAAUAUCGUUCGUCUCUAUGGCCUUGUCACCGUUGGAUCUCCGAUAAUGUCGGUUUCGGAAUACAUGGAAAAUGGUGAUCUCAAACACUACCUUGAGGAACAGAGACCAGAGCGUAGCGGACAGUGUUGCUUUUGGGUUUUAAGAAAACGCUACUGAAAAUGUUUCGUGAUAUCGCAAAUGGAAAGGAAUAUUUUUCACGCAAGUAUUUUGUUUACAGAGAUUUGGCUGCAAAAAAACAUUUUAGUGAACAAAGAGCUGACUUGCAAGAUUGCAGAUUUUGGCAUGGCACGUGACGUGUCUGACGACAGCUGCUACACGACAAAAAGGCGAGAAAGUCUCAAUAAGAUGGCUUUGAAUUAUAACCAAUAUUCGUCUGCCAGUGACGUGUGAAGCUGUGGAAUUGUCCUCUUUGAAACGUGGUCAUUAGCACUACGUCCUUACAAUCAGAUGACAAACAACGAGGUUGCUAUUUGUGGUUAAAAGCAAUCGCAAAAUAAUUUUUUUACAAAUAGCAGUUAUAUAAUCUGAAUGACUGUUAUACGGCACAGGUGAUAAAUAGGGUUGAUCUUGGAUAUCGCCUUCCUCCCCUCCGGGAUGUUCUCGUUCUCUUUAUCAUCUCAUGAUUGACUGCAUCCAUAUUCCUAUGAAAGACUGAGUUUUGGAAACAUCGUACAGAGGCUUCGACUGUCUGACGAAUGUCUUUUGACUAACAGAGAAGAAGAGGAAGGGAUUGAAGGAAACCUCGGAGACAAGCUGGACGUGUCAGAAAACUGCUACACAGACUUGCAACACAUCUAUACAAAAUACUUAUUGUGAAACAUCGUAUAUAAACUGGUACGCAAUGUGUGAAUGGAUCUUGUAAAACUUUGCUAUUUUUGCUACUGAAUAAUGGGCACUAAAACUAACUAGUGCACUAUUAGUAUUGUAUCUACAAUUGGACAUUAUCCAGUUGAAUGAAUUAUUCGUUUAGUUUGCCGAUUAGCUUGAUUUUUGCUAGAAAAGUUUGCAUUUUACGACAACCUAUUACA